AAAAGAACAUAAUUAGCCCAGUUGGGCUUGAACUUACAUUCAUCCUGUCUCAGCCUUUGUAGCUUUGGGAUUAUAGGUCAUUGUUUCUCAGACUAGAUGCUGAGUCCAGUGAGACUCUGAAGAUAUCAUGAGUGUUCUUGGAGAUCAGAGCAGACGAGAUCCAACAGAGUGAGUGUAAUGCUGUUCCCAUGUGUGACACUUCCUUUGUGACCGGCUAUAUUUAUCUCUCUGAAAGCUCCUACUAUAUCCUUUAUUGUCCCCAAUGUUGCAAAAUUUCAUGAUGACAUGUUUUGUUUUAGUGUGUUUUUUAUCUAUUGCAGUAAGAACUUUCAACUUGCAAGUUUCCCUUUUUUAAAUUCUGAAGCAUGUUCUAUAUUAUCUAUUUGACAAUUUUCUACUCUCCCAUUCUUCUCUUCUUUUCCUGGAACUCUUGUUAGUUUGAUAAAAUGGACAUCCUGGGCUCACCCUUGAAUUUUAUCCCUCUCUCCAC
rnacentral:lncRNA from 1 species